AACGAACGCUAUCGGUAUGCUUAACACAUGCAAGUCGGACGGACUAAUUAGGGCUUGCUCCAAUUAGUUAGUGGCAGACGGGUGAGUAACACGUGGGAAUCUGCCCAUCAGUACGGAAUAACUUUUAGAAAUAAAAGCUAAUACCGUAUAUUCUCUACAGAGGAAAGAUUUAUCGCUGAUGGAUGAGCCCGCGUCAGAUUAGGUAGUUGGUGAGGUAACGGCUCACCAAGCCGACGAUCUGUAGCUGGUCUGAGAGGAUGAUCAGCCACACUGGGACUGAGACACGGCCCAGACUCCUACGGGAGGCAGCAGUGGGGAAUAUUGGACAAUGGGCGAAAGCCUGAUCCAGCAAUACCGAGUGAGUGAUAAAGGCCCUAGGGUUGUAAAGCUCUUUUAGCAAGGAAGAUAAUGACGUUACUUGCAGAAAAAGCCCCGGCUAACUCCGU
rnacentral:rRNA from 1 species